AGGCGAUAAAAUCAUGACAAGGGGGUGAUCCCUCAGAGACCGGUAUAGGCGGAAGCUUAAAGAGGAGGCUACAGAGAGUUGGAGCGGAGCAGGAUCGUCUAAAAAAAAAAAAAAGCCCUUUUUUUGAGAUGCUGGACUUUUUGAAAAGUGUGAUGAACUUAAAAAGUACCACCAGCAACAUUUCUGAAACAGAAGAGGAGGGGGAUGCAGAGGAUACCCAUCAAGCGCCAGAGGAAGAGAUGGGAGUUGUAGAUAACAAGCCAGGUCCCGAAGAAAACCUGUCUUCCCAAUCGGCAGCAACAGCCACGCUUCAAAGACAAUGUGUGCCUGAAAGUAUUCUAUAUAAAAUGCCCCAUUAAGAAAUGUUGACAAAAUAAAAUGUGGUAAUAAAUUUUCCAUCCCUCAGAUUCGUUCUGUUGGAGCUACCGCAUCGAAAGGCAGUAAACGUCGUGGA